UACAGAGGUCUCAAGCGUUGUUCGGAUUCAUUGGGCGUAAAGGGCGCGUAGGCUGCGGGGCAAGUCGGGUGUGAAAUCUCAGAGCUCAACUCUGAAACUGCACUCGAUACUGCUUUGCUCGAGGACUGGGGAGGAGAUUGGAAUUCACGGUGUAGCAGUGAAAUGCGUAGAUAUCGUGAGGAAGACCAGUGGCGAAGGCGGAUCUCUGGACAGUUCCUGACGCUGAGGCGCGAAGGCCAGGGGAGCAAACGGG
rnacentral:rRNA from 1 species